rnacentral:rRNA from 1 species
UACGGGGGGAGCAAGCGUUGUUCGGAUUUACUGGGCGUAAAGGGCGCGUAGGCGGCCACUGCAAGUCAGUUGUGAAAUCUCCGGGCUUAACCCGGAAAGGUCAACUGAUACUGCAGGGCUAGAGUGCAGAAGGGGCAACUGGAAUACUUGGUGUAGCAGUGAAAUGCGUAGAUAUCAAGUGGAACACCAGUGGCGAAGGCGAGUCUCUGGACAUUUCCUGACGCUGAGGCACGAAAGCCAGGGGAGCAAACGGG